rnacentral:rRNA from 1 species
AUAAUAAAAACGGCGUAAAGCACGACUAAACAACAGUCAACCAAUUAGAAAUGAAACAAAACUAGGCUGUAAAAAGCCAUAAGUUAUAGUAACCACCACCUAAUAAAUAACAACUUCCACUCGUGAAAGCUAGGAUACAAACUAAGAUUAGAUACCUUACUAUGCCUAACCAUAACAAAACAAUCAAAUUACCAAUUGUUCGCCAAAUAACUACGAGUAAAAACUUAAAAUUUAAAAGACUUGACGGUACCUCACAACAACCUAGAGGAGCCUGUCUAAUAACCGAUACCCCACGAUCAACCCAACCCUAUCUAGCCUACAGUCUAUAUACCGCCGUCGCCAGCCUACCUUAUGAAAGAAACAAAGUGAGCUAAAUAGUCAUACACUAACACGACAGGUCGAGGUGUAACUUAUGAUAGGGCCUAAGAUGGGCUACAUUUUCUAACACAGAAAACACGAAUUAAACUAUGAAAUAAGGAACUGAAGGCGGAUUUAGCAGUAUACUAAGAACAAGACACCUAGUCGAAACCAACGCAUUGAGGUGCGUACACACCGCCCGUCAUCCCUGCCAACCAAACAAACCAUAAAUAAA